UACAACUUUCAACAACGGAUCUCUUGGCUCUCGCAUCGAUGAAGAACGCAGCGAAAUGCGAUACGUAAUGUGAAUUGCAGAAUUCAGUGAAUCAUCGAAUCUUUGAACGCACCUUGCGCCCCUUGGUAUUCCGAGGGGCACACCCGUUUGAGUGUCGUGAAAAUCUCAA
rnacentral:rRNA from 1 species